rnacentral:rRNA from 1 species
AGGAAUAUUGGUCAAUGGACGAGAGUCUGAACCAGCCAAGUAGCGUGAAGGAUGAAGGUUCUAUGGAUUGUAAACUUCUUUUAUACGGGAAUAAACGAAUCCACGCGUGGAUUUUUGCAUGUACCGUAUGAAUAAGGAUCGGCUAACUCCGUGCCAGCAGCCGCGGUAAUACGGAGGAUCCGAGCGUUAUCCGGAUUUAUUGGGUUUAAAGGGAGCGUAGAUGGAUGUUUAAGUCAGUUGUGAAAGUUUGCGGCUCAACCGUAAAAUUGCAGUUGAUACUGGAUAUCUUGAGUGCAGUUGAGGCAGGCGGAAUUCGUGGUGUAGCGGUGAAAUGCUUAGAUAUCACGAAGAACUCCGAUUGCGAAGGCAGCCUGCUAAGCUGCAACUGACAUUGAGGCUCGAAAGUGUGGGUAUCAAACAGGAUUAGAUACCCUGGUAGUCCACACGGUAAACGAUGAAUACUCGCUGUUUGCGAUAUACGGCAAGCGGCCAAGCGAAAGCGUUAAGUAUUCCACCUGGGGAGUACGCCGGCAACGGUGAAACUCAAAGGAAUUGACGGGGGCCCGCACAAGCGGAGGAACAUGUGGUUUAAUUCGAUGAUACGCGAGGAACCUUACCCGGGCUUAAAUUGCAGAUGAAUUACGGUGAAAGCCGUAAGCCGCAAGGCAUCUGUGAAGGUGCUGCAUGGUUGUCGUCAGCUCGUGCCGUGAGGUGUCGGCUUAAGUGCCAUAACGAGCGCAACCCUUGUUGUCAGUUACUAACAGGUUCCGCUGAGGACUCUGACAAGACUGCCAUCGUAAGAUGUGAGGAAGGUGGGGAUGACGUCAAAUCAGCACGGCCCUUACGUCCGGGGCUACACACGUGUUACAAUGGGGGGUACAGAGGGCCGCUACCACGCGAGUGGAUGCCAAUCCCAAAAACCUCUCUCAGUUCGGACUGGAGUCUGCAACCCGACUCCACGAAGCUGGAUUCGCUAGUAAUCGCGCAUCAGCCACGGCGCGGUGAAUACGUUCCCG